AUGACUUGCCCAAGGCCACAGAAGUCGCUGGGACAGAGCGGGACUAGCAGCCGGGUUUCCACCUCCAGAAGGGCUCCUGUUUCGGCCACAGCCCCUUAUGCGACCCGGUGGAGCCUGCUCAGCCGGCCCACAUUACCCGGAAUCAAGCCGGGCACCCUGGCGUUGCGGGCGGGACGAGGCAGGGCGGGCGGGGCCGGAUGGGAGCCGGAUCUCCCCUGGGAGCGGCGCGCGGCCUCUCCGACCCGUCUGGCGGCGGCGGCGGCGGCGGCGGCAGGUGCCUGCGUGGCGGUCGGGCCCGGCCCCCGGGCGGGUGCUGAGAGGCCACCCCUGCCUCACGCGAGCCGAACGAACAAAACGCUCAGGUCCGGUUUGUGCGAGGGGCUCGUCGCGGGGCGGGAGCGGAGGGCCCGGGGCCUGGCUGGCGCCCUCGGCGAGCUCCUGGUCCUGGUCUUCUGCGAGCGCAGUGGCCCCCAGCGCGCCGCUAGCCGCCGCCCUCACCUGCGCGCAUCUGCGGCUGACACGUCGCCGGCCGAGGAGGCCACCCAGGUGCGCACCCGGCCCGCCCCUCCCUUCCUCCCUCCUGGUCACCCUUCACCUGGCCCGGCCCUGCUUGGCUUGGUCCCCAGCCCACUCCCCCGAGCUUGUGCGGGAGCCCGGGCUCAGCACGCUUUUAUACCGCCUGCUCAGUCCCCGCCCCUAGACACACACACACACGCACACGCACACACACACUCACACCUGUCCCGGGCGCCCGUUUGCUCGGAGCAAAUAUUGACUCAGAGGAGGCGGAGCGCCCCCACCCCCUCUCCGCCCCCGCCUGGGCUCUGGGGCUGGAGCUUUUCCGAGGCCUUGGCCGCGGGGGUGGAGGGGGGGUGUCGGGGACCUGGGCGCCUCUGGAACAACACCAGAUGUCACUUUUCCACCCACCUGCCUGGGGGGUGGGGGGGAGGAGCAGAGGACAGAGGCUGCCGGGAGGAGGUUAGGGGGGAGAGAGAGGUGGGUCUCCUAGGGAAGGUGGGACAUCACUUGCGCUGGGGAUUCAGAUUGACGAUGGGGGUCGCUUAG
rnacentral:lncRNA from 1 species